GAUGAACGCUGGCGGCGUGCCUAAUACAUGCAAGUCGAGCGAACAGACGAGGAGCUUGCUCCUCUGACGUUAGCGGCGGACGGGUGAGUAACACGUGGAUAACCUACCUAUAAGACUGGGAUAACUUCGGGAAACCGGAGCUAAUACCGGAUAAUAUAUUGAACCGCAUGGUUCAAUAGUGAAAGACGGUUUUGCUGUCACUUAUAGAUGGAUCCGCGCCGCAUUAGCUAGUUGGUAAGGUAACGGCUUACCAAGGCAACGAUGCGUAGCCGACCUGAGAGGGUGAUCGGCCACACUAGAACUGAGACACGGUCCAGACUCCUACGGGAGGCAGCAGUAGGGAAUCUUCCGCAAUGGGGGAAAGCCUGACGGAGCAACGCCGCGUGAGUGAUGAAGGUCUUCGGAUCGUAAAACUCUGUUAUUAGGGAAGAACAAAUGUGUAAGUAACUAUGCACGUCUUGACGGUACCUAAUCAGAAAGCCACGGCUAACUACGUG
rnacentral:rRNA from 1 species